rnacentral:rRNA from 1 species
UACGUAGGGAGCAAGCGUUGUUCGGAUUUACUGGGCGUAAAGGGCGCGUAGGCGGCAAAUUAAGUCAGCUGUGAAAUCUCCGAGCUUAACUCGGAACGGUCAGCUGAUACUGAUCUGCUAGAGUGCGGAAGGGGCAAUCGGAAUUCCUGGUGUAGCGGUGAAAUGCGCAGAUAUCAGGAGGAGCACCGGUGGCGAAGGCGGUUCUCUGGGCAUGUCCUGACGCUGAGGAGCGAAAGUGUGGGGGAGCGAAACAGG